UACGUAGGUGGCAAGCGUUAUCCGGAUUUAUUGGGCGUAAAGGGAACGCAGGCGGUCUUUUAAGUCUGAUGUGAAAGCCUUCGGCUUAACCGGAGUAGUGCAUUGGAAACUGGGAGACUUGAGUGCAGAAGAGGAGAGUGGAACUCCAUGUGUAGCGGUGAAAUGCGUAGAUAUAUGGAAGAACACCAGUGGCGAAAGCGGCUCUCUGGUCUGUAACUGACGCUGAGGUUCGAAAGCGUGGGUAGCAAACCGG
rnacentral:rRNA from 1 species